CUGAUCACUGGAUGAUUCUGAUAAAUGUCUAUCUGUUACCAGAUCUGAUUCUCUCUAAUCUAAAAUUAAACAGUUGUCUCAACUGGUCGCGUUUCAGGAUUCAUCCAGUGUGAUAGCUCCUGCUGAUCACUAGCUGAUUCUGAUAAAUGUCUAUAUGUUACCAGACCUAAUUCUUUCUAUUCUAAAAUUAAACAGUUGUCUCAACUGGUCGCGUUUCAGGAUUCAUCCAGUGUGAUAGCUUCUGCUGAUCACUGGAUGAAUUUAGUAAAUGCCUAUAUGUUAUGUUCGCCAAUUAAUUUAAAAUUAGAAAAAUCAAGUUGAAAAAUUGUGGAAGAAUAAUAAUAAAUUCGUGUCCUAGCUCGUCUUAACGUGAAAAAAAUUGAUUAUAUCAUCAAGCUAAAGAAAUUGCUCAAGCACAUUUAAAUACCAAUAUAAGCAAGUCUUAUUUAAUCCUAAUAACUGUUAUCGUACAAAAAUAAACCUGGACAGAAUUCGAUUGGUCGCAUCUCUCACUCUCUCUUCCUUUCAUUCUUGUUUUCAUGCUCACGUUAUAUGGAAACUAAAAUCGUUACUUCUUGUACUGAAUUGCCAGAAGAAAAAAAUACAAGUUAUUGAUAAUUUGCAUAAUUUGAGGGUAACAAUUAAGUCGUCGACUGAUAAAUUUGAAUUAUUUUGAAGAGUUCAUUUUCGACGAUCUCUAGGUCCACGACACUUUUGCCAACCUCUCAUUUCUCGCGCUCGUCGCUGAUUGCGAACCGACCACACAGCGCCCGUAGGAAACAAAUGCUGUCAACUGUUGAACAAAAAUCUGACCGUUUCAUUCUGAGAUAAUCGGACCGUGGAAAAUAUGUAAAAAAAUCCGUUGCUAUGCGCGGAUCUUUUUAAUCAGGCGUUUAAUUCGGAAAAACUUGACAUAAAUGAAUAUAGCAUAGGCGGUUUAGGUAAUGUAACUAAGUGUAUUUUUGCUGCAAAUUGCCGCGUUUUCACUCAGUUACGGAAAUUAGUUUUGGAGGUAGUGGAAGGGGUAGUUGUGUCGUGUAUAGAUACUUGGGAGCACUCGGCUUAUUUAUUCGAGGUUUCGAAAUAUAUACUUGGCCGAUACGCUCCCGCGUAUCUCGAUCAUUGUCUCCCAGCGCGUACACGUCGCAACCUGAUAACUCAGAAGAUCAAAGUGAUCAACCUUGUGCAAAGAAAGUGAAACUACACUAUGGUAUACUACCAAGUCAUCAUUCCCAACAAUCAUCAGAAGGAUCACAAAAUAUUAUUAUUGAAACUGGACGUCACCCUGAUCAGUUAAACACAAGGCAUACUAUCAAUGUUGUGUCAGACUUUAUUAAUCGAAUAGUACCAGACUAUUUUAAACUAUUGCAUCUAUUGGAAAUGUGUGUUCUUCACAUGUUAAACUACAAGACGGAAGUGAAUUAAUUAUGAUUGUAAUAUACAUUUCACCUAAUAACAAAAUGGAUCAUCUCAUUUCAUUUUUACAUGAAAGGUUAUUUCCUUAUAGUCAAACAGGUUCAAUAAUUCUUAAAGCGAAUAAACAUAAACUACCAUUAUUUUUAGCUGCAUAUUUCAGUGUAAAUUUUGCAAGAGCUGAAUCAAUGCCAUUAAUGACAUUUCUUCAAAAAGAAUUUCAAUGGCAAAUCAAUAACGAUCCAAAAGAAUCUACUACCAAAUAUGGAACAACAAUAGAUGCUGUAUUUGUGAGAUAUCUUGAUGGUGUUUCAUCCAAUACUUUUGUAACGUACUUUAGUUAUCAUCGACCAAUCGUCACAGUAAUACCGGCAGAGGAAAAAUCGAAUAUAACUAUUAUUGAAGCCACAGAUGAAAAUAUUUAAAUUGUGGCAACUUGAUACUAAUAUCGAAUUUUUAUAUCAUGUAAAUAAAUGUUUAUUAAAUAAAGUUACCAUUUACUGUAAGAAUCUCGUAAUACUUCAUUUUUUCAUUAGGCUAUAUUUAAUUCCUGUAAUAAUAUUAUCUUUUAUGCAUAUUACUUGUACACACACGAUGUUUCACAUCUGCCAGGCGUCCCAUGACGGCUCAUUUUUUUUUUUA